rnacentral:tRNA from 1 species
GGAGCGGUAGGUUCAGCUGGUUAGAAUGCUGGCCUGUCACGCCGGAGGGUCGCGGGUUCGAGUCCCGUCCGCUCCGCCA